ensembl:scaRNA
AGGCUCCAUUUCCUGGGAGGUGGGCUCAGCCUACCCCACUUCCCCUCAUCAGAGCCUAGAACAAAGAGGCCAGGCACCCUCCACCUCCUCGUGGGAGAGGUGUUUGAGGAAGGCGCCUCACCCAGGUGGGCCUGGCCCCACAGUU